rnacentral:rRNA from 1 species
CUACCAAUGCAGUCGAGCGGCAGCACAGAGAACUUGUUUCUCGGGUGGCGAGCGGCGGACGGGUGAGUAAUGCCUGGGAAAUUGCCCUGAUGUGGGGGAUAACCAUUGGAAACGAUGGCUAAUACCGCAUGAUGCCUACGGGCCAAAGAGGGGGACCUUCGGGCCUCUCGCGUCAGGAUAUGCCCAGGUGGGAUUAGCUAGUUGGUGAGGUAAGGGCUCACCAAGGCGACGAUCCCUAGCUGGUCUGAGAGGAUGAUCAGCCACACUGGAACUGAGACACGGUCCAGACUCCUACGGGAGGCAGCAGUGGGGAAUAUUGCACAAUGGGCGCAAGCCUGAUGCAGCCAUGCCGCGUGUGUGAAGAAGGCCUUCGGGUUGUAAAGCACUUUCAGUCGUGAGGAAGGUGGUGUUGUUAAUAGCAGCAUCAUUUGACGUUAGCGACAGAAGAAGCACCGGCUAACUCCGUGCCAGCAGCCGCGGUAAUACGGAGGGUGCGAGCGUUAAUCGGAAUUACUGGGCGUAAAGCGCAUGCAGGUGGUUUGUUAAGUCAGAUGUGAAAGCCCCGGGCUCAACCUGGGAAUUGCAUUUGAAACUGGCAAACUAGAGUACUGUAGAGGGGGGUAGAAUUUCAGGUGUAGCGGUGAAAUGCGUAGAGAUCUGAAGGAAUACCGGUGGCGAAGGCGGCCCCCUGGACAGAUACUGACACUCAGAUGCGAAAGCGUGGGGAGCAAACAGGAUUAGAUACCCUGGUAGUCCACGCCGUAAACGAUGUCUACUUGGAGGUUGUGGCCUUGAGCCGUGGCUUUCGGAGCUAACGCGUUAAGUAGACCGCCUGGGAGUACGGUCGCAAGAUUAAAACUCAAAGGGAUUGACGG